rnacentral:rRNA from 1 species
AGACGAACGCUGGCGGCGUGCCUAAUACAUGCAAGUGGGACGCAAGGGAACACACUGUGCUUGCACACCGUGUUUUCUUGAGUCGCGAACGGGUGAGUAACGCGUAGGUAACCUGCCUAUUAGCGGGGGAUAACUAUUGGAAACGAUAGCUAAUACCGCAUAAUAUUAAUUAUUGCAUGAUAAUUGAUUGAAAGAUGCAAGCGCAUCACUAGUAGAUGGACCUGCGUUGUAUUAGCUAGUUGGUAAGGUAAGAGCUUACCAAGGCGACGAUACAUAGCCGACCUGAGAGGGUGAUCGGCCACACUGGGACUGAGACACGGCCCAGACUCCUACGGGAGGCAGCAGUAGGGAAUCUUCGGCAAUGGACGAAAGUCUGACCGAGCAACGCCGCGUGAGUGAAGAAGGUUUUCGGAUCGUAAAGCUCUGUUGUAAGUCAAGAACGUGUGUGAGAGUGGAAAGUUCACACAGUGACGGUAGCUUACCAGAAAGGGACGGCUAACUACGUGCCAGCAGCCGCGGUAAUACGUAGGUCCCGAGCGUUGUCCGGAUUUAUUGGGCGUAAAGGGAGCGCAGGCGGUCAGGAAAGUCUGGAGUAAAAGGCUAUGGCUCAACCAUAGUGUGCUCUGGAAACUGUCUGACUUGAGUGCAGAAGGGGAGAGUGGAAUUCCAUGUGUAGCGGUGAAAUGCGUAGAUAUAUGGAGGAACACCAGUGGCGAAAGCGGCUCUCUGGUCUGUCACUGACGCUGAGGCUCGAAAGCGUGGGUAGCGAACAGGAUUAGAUACCCUGGUAGUCCACGCCGUAAACGAUGAUGCUAGGUGUUAGGCCCUUUCCGGGGCUUAGUGCCGGAGCUAACGCAAUAAGCACUCCGCUGGA